rnacentral:lncRNA from 1 species
GCUCCGGCUUCCCUCCAGGCGGCAGCGGAAGGUGGGAGCGACGACUGCAAAACGGCAGCGAUGGGCUCCCGCAACCUCCGGAGCUUGUGCGCGUACUUCAGGGACCGGCACCACGUCACCGUCACCUCCUGAGUAGUGAGUUCCCCUCUGAUGAAACCACUGGUGUGUUUACUCACCAUCCCCACCAUUUUUUUUUCCCCAACCUGAUGGAAGGAAGUACAUAAUGGAGAGCAAGUUUUUAAAGCACGGUCGUGUCGUGUGAACUUGCUCUAGCCAAAUUAGGUUUAUAGCACUUUUUUUGGCUCUCAUUACCUCCAGUCCCCACAUAAACAAGAGUGACCAGCUGGGUCAUCCGCAAGACCGUUUGAAAUUAUUGUGGCUUGGGUGGAAACUUAAAGGAGUGAAGUAUCUGCUUUCCAGAAAAAUCGUUGUCAUUCAAAGUGAAAUUAAACUUGUUUUCUUUGCAAUAAUUCGCCUUUAUUUCCUUGUAUAUCUGUAAACUCUUCACUUUUUUGUAAUUACUAGACAAUUCGGACUUAAAAAGAGCCUCAGCAUGUGUAUUUUGGAAUUGUGUAGCUUCAUAAUGUGAAAAUUAUUCUUUUCUAUUUGAGUAAAGUACAGUUAAUUUGAAGUAAAUAAAAUUUCUAUUUCCAUUGGUUGUUUCUUUUAAAAAGUCACCUUUUACUUACAAAAGAAUCACUGUAAUCCAGUUUACAUUUAUCAUUGAAGGUCAAAAGCAAGAAAUAGGAAGAAACACAAGCAUACUAUAAAAUAAAAGGUAACUGUCAUGUUUUUGAAGGUAAGGUGUUUUGACAUAUCAGCAGACAUUGUGUGAAUUUAUUUCAACUCCUAGUGGUACUGGUGUAGGUAGAAAAUGUUUUGCUUGGUUAUUCAUUUCAUCAAACACUCUACUUCACUGUUUUUUUUUCACUUCAGGAAAAUUCGAGGAGGAACAACACAUACUAGUGUCUUUCCUUUCUUUCUCCCCGUCUUCUGCAAAUAGUCCCUUCCUCUUCCUGCUUUCUCCUCCUUCUCAUGUUAACAUCUUCAACCAUAAGAUGGUGUGUUAAAAGAUUGAAUAUACCUCUAUGGAAUGACUUCCAGAGGGUGUAAGUCUGAUAUGAGAGUUUUAUUACCUUGAGUAUUUUACUGGAAGAGAUAGAACAACAAACAUUUUCAUAAUAAAUGUGUGGGUUAGGAGUGUUAGGAGAAAAUACACUGAUACUAUUACUUUCAAUAUUUGAUACUACUUACUUUGACUCUCACUGAACACCUAUUUGUUUAGGAUGAAUUCACUUUAAGCCGGGUUGAAGAACAAGCCUUUAAUUGUCCUAUUAUUUGUGCCAAAUCUAUUAUAAAUUUGUUAAAAAAUUUUUAAUACCUACCUUAGAGGGUACUCUAGGUAUUUAAUGAGCUAGCAUUUGUUAAAGGCUUGUAUAGUAAGAAUUCUUAUAGUAAGAGUUCUUACCAAUAGAUGGUAUAUUUUUUAAAUUGUCCUGUUGCAUCAAAAAGUUCAUCUUUAUUGGUAAUGUUGAUUAAGUUUGCCCAUUUGGUAGUUUGGUUUCUUUUAACUAUCUUACUAGAUUUUCUUACUUUUACCUGAAAAGUAGUCCUUACUAAUAGGCACAUGUUUUGUAUAUUUCCAAAAUAUGUAUUAUGUUAAAUUCUCUGUACACUUUAUUUAAAAAUUACAGACGUUGAGGGAAAAAAAAUACCCUAUUAAGGGAAGAAUGAGUUUGUGUAUAACUUGUAGAAGAAGGAGGCCACCCAUUUUUAGAAAAAUAUGGAUGGUAUUGAAAAUUUUGCCAUGGCAAGGGAUAAAAAGGACAGGCUUCUCUAAUGUGUCUGAAACAACAUUUGAAUCCCCUUUGUUCAUUCCCUAAAUCUGCUGCUCCUUUAGAAUUCCUGAUUUUCAUAAAUAGUACCACCAUUCACUUAUUUGCUCAGGCAUAAAACUUGGAAUUUUCUGAUUCUUCACACUCAUACAACUCAUCAGACAGUACCAUCAGUUCUUCCUGACAAAUACAUUCUGAAUUUAGCUACUUAUCACUUCCACUGGUACAACCCUUGGGAGCCACCAUCAUCUGUUGCUGGACCACAGCAAUAACCACACUAGUUGCUAUCACUUUCUAUCUGUACCCUCAUGAAUAUUUUCCCAUUUAAACCAUUCUCUAUAUACCAACCAAAGCAAUCACUUAAAAAAUGUUAUUAGGUUAUGUCACUCCCUUGUUUAAAACCCUCCAAUAGCUUCCUUAUGCACACAGAAUGAAAUCGGAAUUCCUUACCAUAGCCUUCAAGACUGCAUAAUCUGGCUCCUGCCCACUUCUCCAUCUUCCCAGGAAGCAGCACAGGAAGUUGUUCUCACCCUUCUUACUGCCUCCUUUCUGUCGUGGGCUGUGCUUUUUCUAGUCUGUAGCAGAGUCUGUUAGUUGUCCCCAAAAAUUCCUCCAUUUUUUUCAUAGUAAUAGACAUGGAUACAUGGCUACCCAGAACAAAGACUAUAUUUUGCAGCCUUCCUUGUAGCCAUGUAAUAGUGCUGGCUGAUGGGAUGUAAGCAGUAUAUCAUGUGGCACACUUGUAAAACCAUCCUUAAAAGAUAGUUGGUGCACACCUUCAAUGCGGCUUUUCCUUUAUCCUGUACCGUGGAAUAUAGAUGUGAUGGCUUAGAACUGUAGCUGCCAAUUUGUGCCUCAUGCAAGUUCUCUCAUUCUAGGGAUGGCAAAACUAAACUGGUGGAAACCAGGGUCUGUGAGAACUUUAUGGAUCAGAGCACCAUGCUAGCCCUGCAGUCGUAAAUGUCUAUAUUAUUAAAGCCACUAUUUUGGAGUCUCUUGUUCUCAACUGAAUUUAAUCUUACCUGAUACUCUGUCUCAGGGCCUUUGCACUUGCUUUUUAUUUUUUAUUUAUUUAUUUUUUUUCUGCCUGGGAUGUGGUCUUCUGUCUUGGAUAUGGCUGACUCAUUCUCUUCCUUCAGGUUAACCCAAAUAUCUCUGACAGGCCUUCCCUGGCCACCGUAUCUAAAAUAGCUCACGUUCCCAUUUAUUCUCUGUCAAUCACGUGCCCCUCUAUUUUCUUAAUAGCAUUUAUAAUUUAUCAUUAUCUUGUUUAUUCACUGUUUAUUUUCUACCUCCCUUCACCCUACAAAAAUAUAAACUACACCUGUUUUUUUCCACUACUUUAUCCUUCACACAUGGUAGGCAUUAGAUAAAUGCUGUUAAAUUAGUGAGUGAAUGAAUCAACAAAAUUCUUAUCCAAGAUUAGCUAGACUUUUUAAAUAAUAAAUGAGUAAAUGUCAACAGAUAUCCUUAACACAAAAUUUGUAAAAUCCAAUCUAGGAAACAGGAAAAACAGUACUAAACUAAUAGGAUAUUCCUGACCUCCAACUUAAUAAAGAAGAUGUCUACCUUUUUCUGGGAAAUCUGUAAGGCUAGUACAAGUUAAAAAAAAAAAGACUGCACUGCAGUAUAUCCAGGGCUAAAAUUCACACUAAAAGGGGUCUGAAUUAUAAUUUACUAGACCUCAGUUUCUUCAUCUUAAAUAUGUGUAAGCUUUGAAUGGUAAUACUAUAACAGUUAAAAGUUUAAUAGUAAGCCCAACUUAUGAGUGACAAAACAUGUUAAACAUUAAUUUAGUCUUCAGGCACUAUUUUAACAAGUGGUUAUUUCUUGAUAAUACUGGCAAGGAUUCAGAGAAACAGGGCUGCUUAUAUUGCUGAGAGUGUAUGUUGGCAGCACUUUUCUAGAGUGCAGUUUGGCAAUAUGUAUCAAAAGCCUUGAGCCAUGUGCAUUUGACCCAGCGAUUCUUUUAGAAAUGUGUCAUAAGCAGGCUGGGUGCAGUGGCUCAUGCCUGUAAUCCCAGCACUUUGGGAGGCCAAGGCGGGUGGAUCACCUGAGGCCAGGAGUUUGAGACCAGCCUGGCCAACAUGGUGAAACCCCGUCUCUACUAAAUACAAACAAAUUAGCUAGGUGUGGUGGUGCACGCCUGUAGUCCCAGCUACUUGGAGGCUGAGGCAGGAGAAUCGCUUGAACCCGGAAGGCGGAGGUUGCGGUGAGCUGAGAUCAUGCCACUGCACUCCAGCUUGGGUGACAGAGCAAGACUCUGUCCAAAAGAAAAGGCCAGGCACGGUGGCUCAGAGAGCCACCUGUAAUGCCAGCACUUUGGGAGUCUGAGGUGGGGUUGGAUCACCUGAGGGCACAAGUUGAAGACCAGCCUGGCCAACAUGGUGAGACCCCAUCUCUACUAAAAAUACAAAAAUUAGCUGGGCAUGCUGGCGGGUGCCUGUAGUUUCAGCUAUUGGGAAGGCUGAGAUGGGAGAAUCACUUGAGCCCAGGAGGCAGAGGUUGUAGUGAGCCGAGAUUGUGCCACUGCAUUCCAGCCUAGGUGACAGAGCGAGACUCCGUCUCAAAAAAAAAAAAAAAAAAGAGAAAUGUAUUAUAAGCAAAUAAGGGUGUGUUUAACAAGUUAAUUGCAAGAGUAUUCUUUACUGCAUCAUUUAUUAGGAGAUUGGUUAAGCAACAUCCAUACAGUGAACAGUAUUCAGCCAUUUGAAAUGAUGUGGAGGAAAUUUUAUUGACAUGAUACAUUGUUAAGAGCAAAAGAAAAAGUUUUAAAAUACAAAUGUUUAAUUUGUAAGUCUCACAAACAUCAUCUAACGAAAUAUACACGAGGUGUUAAGUCAGCCUUGCAAACGUAACUAUUUUUUCAUUAUUUUUAUAUCAGUUACUGUUAUUGGAGCAUUUUAUAUUGACUGAGGAUCUUUAUUAAAACUUCUUCAGCCUUCUGUGAAAUCUUGUUAUGAUGGCUAUAGUGACACUAUAUAAAACACAUAACCAGAAUAUGUUUAUGCUCAAAUAUUUCAAGCAAUAUUUGAUGCUUAAAAUACCAAAGUGACAAUGAAAAUGAAAGAAAUUUGGAUAGUUCCUUAGAGUUAUUUGUUUGUGUUUCAGAUAUGAACAUAAAGUAUGUUUUUAAUAUUACCAGUUUUGAGAAUAAUAGAAUAAAUGCCUUCUCACCUUAAUAAGAUGUUCUGUUCUGACUCAGUAUUCAUUUGCCAUUUAUUUUUCAAAUGUAGCUGAAAUCUCAGUCAUGUUCCAGGCACUAUGUUUUGUCUCUGAGAGAGGAAAAACCAAACUUUUUCCCUGUUCUCAAAUACUACUCAAUACAAUACUUCUGCAACAAGAUGGGGUGGGAUAGCGGUCCCCCCUCACCCCCGCCCACAUCAAACCAUCAAUUUUCUAGCAGACAUCAGCUGGGUGUCUCAAUUCUAUUCAGUUCUGACACUAUCUACCUGGAGGCAGCAUCAGAUCGAACAGAUUGAGGGCUCGGUUCUGCAAGACUGCCCCCACCACUUCCAGUACCAGCCACAAGUAGUAGGUUGUCACCGAUACUCCUGACCAAGCUGUAAAUCAGGAUUCCCAUGAUCCCUUCCUCAGGUUCAAUUAGUUCACUAGAGUGGCUCACAGAAGUCGGAGAAACACUUUACUAGCAUUUACCCAUUUAUUAUAAAGGAUAUUACAAAGCAUACAGGUGAACAGCUGGAUGGAAGAGGAAUCUGCACACCUUUUCUCCCAUACCUUGCCCUAUGUAUAGGUAGGGAGAAGAGGUGUGGCAAUUCCAUGCCUUCUCCAGGCAGGCCAGCUUCCAGGAACCUCCUAGUGUUCAGCUAUCAGGAAGCUCUCUGAACCCUGCCUGUCCUUUUGGGCUUUUAUGGAUACUUCAUUAUGUAGGCAUGAUUGAUUACAUUAUUGGUCACUGGUGAGCAAAUAACCUUUAACCCCCUCUCCCCUCCCUGGAGGUGAGGAGCCAGGUUAAAGUUCCAACUCCCUAAUCACAUGGUUGGCUUCCCUGGCAACCAGCUCCCAUCCUGAGGCUACCCAGGAGCCCAUCAAGAGUUACCUCAUUAGAACAAAAGAUUCUCCUAUCGUCCAGGAAAUUCCAAGGGGCUUAGGAGCUCUGUCAGGAACCAAGGGUCAAAGACUGAAUAGAAUAAGAUUCUCCUAGUGCCCUUUAUCUAGAAGUUUUAGGACCUCUGGGCUAGGAAACAGAGACGAAAACUAAAACGUGCAUACAGAAGAUAGAUCUAUAUAUAUAAUAUUAUAAAUCACAUCACCUUGUCAUUUAGUUCUCAAGAAAACUAUGUGAUGUCAGAAUAAUAGUAUAAUUUUUUCCAUUUUCUUGUAUGCUACAUGUAUGUAGCAGAUAUCAUUUAAAUUGGUGAACCACAUUUCCCCCCCUUUAAAUAUCCUUGUCCAUAUAUUGAAUCUCUCUAAUACUCAUCACCUUUGGAAUUGAUCAUGGCAGUAUUAAAGGCACUUCUAUUCUGAACUGAACAUUAAAGAUGCUAUUACCCCUCCAGUGCUUUUGUGGGUCACUAUCAUCUAUAAAAAAUAUCCUAAAAGGAGAAGCCAAAUAAAUGAGGUAAUCAGUGGAAAGAAUAUAAGAUCCUUGGAAUCUAAAAAAUGGCUGUAACCAAUCAGCAUAAUAAAACCUCUAACAAUAGAAAAAUAGUUAACCACUUAGUUUAGCAUCUGCUAAAUGGCAAGCACCAUAAUUACAUGAUUUCACUCAAUCUGUGUAACAUUUCUGUGUGAUAGGUGGUAUUUGCAUUUUACAGAUGAGGAAAUGGAGGCUUUAAGAGAGGUUGCUAGAUAUAUCUAGAAAACCCCAUUGUCUCAGCCCAAAAUCUCCUUAAGCUGAUAGGCAACUUGCGCAAAGUCUCAGGAUACAAGAUCAAUGUGCAAAAAUCACAAGCAUUCUUAUACACCAAUAACAGAGAGCCAAAUCAUGAGUGAACUCCCAUUCACAAUUGCUUCAAAGAGAAUAAAAUACCUAGGAAUCCAACUUACAAGGGAUGUGAAGGACCUCUUCAAGGAGAACUACAAACCACUGCUCAAUGAAAUAAAAGAGGAUACAAACAAAUGGAAGAACAUUCCAUGCUCAUACGUAGGAAGAAUCAAUAUCGUGAAAAUGGCCAUACUGCCCAAGGUAACUUAUAGAUUCAGUGCCAUCCCCAUCAAGCUACCAAUGACUUUCUUCACAGAAUUGGAAAAAACUACUUUAAAGUUCAUAUGGAACCAAAAAAAGAGCCCACAUCGCCAAGUCAAUCCUAAGCCAAAAGAACAAAGCUGGAGGCAUCAAGCUACCUGACUUCAAACUAUGCUACAAGGCUACAGUAACCAAAACAGCAUGGUACUGGUACCAAAACAGAGAUGUAGACCAAUGGAACAGAACAGAGCCCUCAGAAAUAAUGCUGCAUAUCUACAACCAUCUGAUCUUUGACAAACCUGACAAAAACAAGCAAUGGGGAAAGGAUUCCCUAUUUAAUAAAUGGUGCUGGGAAAACUGGCUAGCCAUAUGUUGAAAGCUGAAACUGGAUCACUUCCUUACACCUUAUACAAAAAUUAAUUCAAGAUAGAUUAAAGACUUAAACGUUAGACCUAAAACCAUAAAAACCCUAGAAGAAAACCGAGGCAAUACUAUUCAGGACAUAGGCAUGGGCAAGGACUUCAUGUCUAAAACACCAAAAGCAAUGGCAACAAAAGCCAAAAUUGACAAAUGGGAUCUAAUUAAAGAGCUUCUGCACAGCAAAAGAAACUACCAUCAGAGUGAAAAGGCAACCGACAGAAUAGGAGAAAAUCUACUGCAAUCUACUCAUCUGACAAAGGGCUACAAUGAACUACAAUGUAGAUCCAGAAUCUACAAUGAACUCAAACAAAUUUACAAGAAAAAAACAACCCCAUCAAAAAGUGGGCAAAGGAUAUGAACAGACACUUCUCAAAAGAAGACAUUUAUGCAGCCAAAAGACACGUGAAAAAAUGCUUAUCAUCACUGGCCAUCAGAGAAAUGCAAAUCAAAACCACAAUGAGAUACCAUCUCAUACCAGUUAGAAUGGUGAUCAUUAAAAAGUCAGGAAACAACAGGUGCUGGAGAGGAUGUGGAGAAAUAGGAACACUUUUACACUGUUGGUGGGACUGUAAACUAGUUCAACCAUUGUGGAAGUCAGUGUGGCGAUUCCUCAGGGAUCUAGAACUAGAAAUACCAUUUGAGCCAGCCAUCCCAUUACUGGGUAUAUACCCAAAGUAUUAUAAAUCAUGCUGCUGUAAAGACACAUGCACACGUAUGUUUAUUGCGGUACUAUUCACGAUAGCAAAGACUUGGAACCAACCCAAAUGUCCAACCAUGAUAGACUGGAUUAAGAAAAUGUGGCACAUAUACACCAUGGAAUACUAUGUAGCCAUAAAAAAGGAUGAGUUCAUGUCCUUUGUAGGGAUAUGGAUGAAACUGGAAGCCAUCAUUCUCAGCAAACUAUCGCAAGGACAAAAAUCCAGACACUGCAUGUUCUCACUCAUAGGUGGGAAUUGAACAAUGAGAACACAUGGACACAGGAAGGGUAACAUCACACUCUGGGGACUGUUGUGGGGUGGGGGGAGGGGGGAGGGAUAGCAUUAGGAGAUAUACCUAAUGUUACAUGAUGAGUUAAUGGGUGCAGCACACCAACAUGGCACAUGUAUACAUAUGUAACUAACCUGCACGUUGUGCACAUGUACCCUAAGACUUAAAGUAUAAUUUAAAAAAAAACGAGGCUGCUUUAGAUUACAAAGAUUAUAAAGAGAGAGGAUUGGAAUUCAGGUUUUGUAACUACAGAACCUAUUCUUUCUUUUUUAAAUGUAUGUAAUUUUUAAAAUGUUGUGUGUAAUAUUUUUGUAUAUCCGUUUUCUUGGGAGAGGAUCCAUAGAUGUCACAAGAUUCUCGAAGGGGUCCUUACUGAAAAAAAAAAUGUCUAAGAACCACUAAAACUCCCUACUAUGAAUUUAGUGCACUUAAUAAUGGGGAAGAAAGUAACUCUGACAUAGUUUGGCCACAGAAUAUAUUUUUUAAUUGUUACUAAUCAAUCAAAUGAAUAAAUAUGGAGAACCUAGGUAGAUGCUUAAAAUUCUGAUUCAACUAACUAUUGAAUUGCUAUUAUGCACUGGCCUCACAGAUUAUACACUACUGUUUCUCAGUCUUGAGUACUAUAGGAGCACCUUUUAUGAAUUUUUGUGGAUACCCAGUGUGAUAAACUAUUUUUCUUAUAAAGUUACCCUAAUAUGUACAAAUAGAAAACUAGGAGUAAACUUAGGUUUUUAGCUCUAUUUUAACUAUUAAACUAGAAAAAAAUUAGGAAUGAAAUAAAACUAAAAUAUUUUAAGUUAACAUUAAUGUGUAAGUUUUUUGUUAAGCCUAAAUCAUCACUGGAAAUAGAGCACAGAUUUAUUUGAAUUUGAGAUACCUAUGUUGCUAUGUGAUAACUCAAUUUUCCUAACAGUUUUCUCUUACGAUUUUUUUGAAACCUUUAUACCAGAAGCAAGCAAUUACAGUAUUUGACCUUUACCUGGCAUAAAUGGAUCAUUAAUUAACUUACUCUUUACUGUAGUCCAGGGCAAUUUUAAGUUAGAUAGUCUGGCUCCAACUCCAUUAUAAGCAAACAAAAACAUGGGCACUCAAGUCGAAGUAUUUAUUUAUAUAAUGGUGUUUUUUUAAUCCAAAACAGAGUUAUGUUAACUUUUAGAUUACCUUUGAAAUAAAGCUACAAAACUAAAGAUUUUUUGUGAGAACUCACAAAUACUAAAGAAUAUGUUAGUGGGCCACUAGGGAUUUAAGAAGCAAGAUUAUGAGCGUAAGGGUUUUGAAUAGCUAAGAUCUGCAAUUUUAUCUAACCGAAACACAUGCAAGCUUCAGUGCCCUUUGAAAAAAAUGCAGUAUUUUAAAAAUUACUUCUACAAACCUCAGUUUUGCUGCCUAAAAUUCGAGCAUAAAAAUAUGACUAUGCCUUUCAGGAUUGUCAUAAAAAUUUUAUCGGAUGGGCCAGGCGCGGUGGCUCACGCCUGUAAUCUCAGCACUUUGGGAGGUCGGGGCGAGCAGAUCACGAGGUCAGGAGAUCGAGACCAUCCUGGCUAAUACGGUGAAACCCCAUCUCUACUAAAAAUACAAAAAACUUAGCCCGGCGUGGUGGUGGGCGCCUGUAGUCCCAGCUACUCGAGGCUAAGGCAGGAGAAUGGCAUGAACCCGGGAGGUGGAGCUUGCGGUGAGCCGAGAUUGCGCCACUGCACUCCAGCAUGGAUGACAGAGCGAGACUCCAUCUCAAAAAAAAAAAAAAAUUUCAUCAGACGACAUAUGCAAAUGCUUAGUAUAGUGUAUGGAAUGAACCAACCACUCAAAUAGUUGCGAUGAUGAUGAUAAUAGUUUUAUGUGGAAAACCACACGUAAUCUAAGAAUUUUUAAUAAAAUUACUAAUGAGGCACCUGAAAAGGAAAAUGCAAGAAAAUAAUAGACUAUAUAGACAGCCAUGUAAAAAAACAACAACAGAAAUAUAAAUGUGCUAGCUAGUUGAGUUAAAUAUUUUCUGUUGAGAACUAAAAUCAGGUAAGGUGGGGACGUAAAACAUAUCCCUAAAUGAUUACAUUUUAUAGCGUCAACUAGUGAUCAUGUUUUAUUUUCCUGCCAUAAAAAUAUGUUUUUAAGUCACUUUAAAAAAUAAACAUGUUAACUAAUCUUGAGUUUAUGUAAUGGCAUCCCUUUCACAAUUACUAAGAGGGUUUUAAAAGACGCACCACUUUUUAAAGACAUUGUUUAGAAGAAGAUAGUUACCAGAUAUUUACAACAGUUCUUAAACAACCUUACAUUUUUAAUAUGAUGUCCAACUCUGAAGUAGUUAGAAUUGAUAGUGUUAAUUAAGAUUUUUAAAAACACUGCCUAAUGUAGAGGUAAACACCAUAUUUUAUAAAACACUUAUUGUACUUCCUCAGUAAGAGUAAGAUUAGUUUCCAUUAGAUUCUAGAUUAUAAAAGUUGCUACAGCUGCCAUAACUUUGGUGAAGGUGAUUCUGGAGGAAUAUUAUCCCAAAACCUCUUCUUUUCCUUCUAAUGAAGCAGCCUGCAAUUAGGAAACAACUCUUCAUAAGCAUAACCCAUAUAAGCGAGCAUGUAAUAGUUAAAUGGCAAAAUCCAGAGAAACAGCCAAUUGAUCUUUUACAAACUCAGCAGCUGCCACUGAAGAAACAGGUGAUAAUGUAGCACAAAAAGAUACCGUAAAACACAGGACUUCUAAAUACUUAGUAAGGAAGACCUUUUUGAAAGCCUUAUCCUGAAAACAUCUCUUCUUGCUAAAAGCUAGGGAAUCUUAGAAUCUUAUUAAAAACAACACCACUUACAAUAGAGCAGAGGGAAGAGAAAAUCUGUUUUGAAUGAACCAACAACAACAGACAUAUUUAUUAUACUUUUUUUUAAUUUAUAAGAAAAAAAGAUUUAAUUGGAUCACAGUUCUGCAGGCUGUACAGGAAGCAUGGUACCAGAAUCUGCCUGACUUCUAAUGAGGGCUUCAGGAAGCUUACAAUCAUGGUGGAAGGUGAAGGGUGAGCAGGCAUCUCAACAUGGUGGAGUGGGAGCAAAAGAGAGCUAUUACACUUCUUUAAUUAAGUUAAAGAAUUUACUUGGCUUUGCCUAGUUCCUUAUAGAAACAAAAAUUACAAAAAGGGAAUGAAGGAGGGAGAGAGGAAGGAAAAAGGAAGGAAGAAAAAAAGGAAAAGGGAAAGGAAAAAGGAAAGGAAAAAGUAAAAGGAAAGGAAGGUUCUAAACUAGAUUCCUCAGUACACUAGUUCCAUAAGAUACUGGUAAGUAUUCUGUUAAAAAGCAAAGGAUUUCAUUGUAAUGCUCUGAAUUAAGAGGUUUCAUUAUUGCCAAAUUUGUUUGUUACUUUUUUUUCUUCUUCUUUUUUUUUUUUUCCCCGUAUGUUUUUGAGACAGGGUCUCACUCUGUCACCCAGGCUAGAGUACAGUGUGGCGCAAUCAGAGCUCACUGCAGUCUCCAACUCCUGGGCUCAAGUGAUCCACUCACCUCAGCCUUCAGAGCAGAUGGGACUAGAGGCAUGCAUCACCACAUCCAGCUAACUUUUAAUAAUUUUUUUGUAGAGACAAGGUCUCCCUAUAUUGCCCAGGCUGUUCUCAAACUCCUGGGUUUGAGACUCCUCCCACCUUGGCCUCCCAAAGUACUGAGAUUACAGGUGUGAGCCACUGUGCCCAGCCCAUUGGUAUGUUAAGGUGUUAAUAUAUGUGUACCUAAGUACCUUAGUUCUUUUUUAUUGAAGAUUUUAAUUAAUAUCUUACAAAACCACAAGCUAUCUAACUACAUUUGAUGGAGAUACUGUACUUGAAAGGCUGAAUUUUGGGUUCCUGUACAUAGGGAUUGAGAAUUCUCUACCACAGCUUUGUUAUAAGAAAUUGACACAAGGCCAGGCGUGGCUGCUCACGCCUCUAAUCCCAGCACGUAGGGAGGCCUAGGCAGGAGGAUCACUUGAGUGCAGGAGUUUGAGACCAGCCUGGGCAAUCUAGUGAGACCUCCUCUCUGAAAAAGUUGACACAUGAUGUGAAUUGGGUAUCACAGAAGAUGUUUUUAACAGGACCAAAUAAGAUAUUUCUCUUACCCUUUUAGGACUGAGGUUUUGCCAAUACAUUAGGCAAGGACUGGCUAACACUUGAUAUCAUAAUACUAUAGGUACAACAGAAUCUUUCUUUUUUGUUGAUGCAUUUAUAAUAUAAUAUUGAGUGGGAGUUUUCCCAUUGCCCCGUAAUUAUGAUUAUGCCCCAAAACUGAGAAUAAAAUUAUUAAAUACUUCACAUUCUAAGUUAAAAUAACUGAAUAAUCCCAUAGUAUUAGCCAAGUAGUGUCACAAGCAUACCUAUCACCACCACCACUACCUCACCACCACCACUCCUACUCACCCUUCAUUAAAAAAAUGGUAGGCCUGAGAGAAAAUAAGGAGGCCUUUUGGAGAAUCAGUUUGUGGACAGGACUGUUCCCAAUAUAUAAUUGGAGUCGGGGUUGCAUGAAGAGAAUUAUAUCCAAAGAUUGGGAUUACCAAAAUAAGAGGCAUAUUUCUUUUCUCUGUUGGGUGUUUGCUGGGACAGAGGACUUGCUGAGCUCCUGGAGCUAUAUGAGUAGAGGAAAGAGAAUUUGCAAGAGAUGAUAGACUAACAGAGGCCAGGACAGCAAGAAAGUGGUCUUCAUGCCCAUCAUUUAGUGUGUCAAGAAUAACGGAGAUUCCCAUGGAUGGUAUGAACACCAGGGAAAGUAGGUGAGCUUCAGCCAUUUUGUCAGUAUGCGCGCUGACCUCAGCAAGAGGGAAUCUCUGCAGCAAGAGAAAUUAAAGUGGUUCAGUAAACUGGAUCCAGAUGACCAACAUCAGGAAACUACAUAAUGGGAAGCCCCUGCAGGCUCCCUCAAAGAAGCCUCAUUAUAGAUCUAGCUUUUGGAUACUGUCACACAGAGGUUAUCAAAAUCCAGUUAAUGAGGACUGCAUCCUUACCCAGUCAAGUAAGAAAAUAAUCGCCCUUUUCUCUGUACUUGGGGUCGGGGGAGAGUAGAGGGGAAUAGUGUAAAGAGCUUUGAAUUGAGCUGGAGAUUGAAGCUUUAAAGUUAACAACAUGAUUCUUUAAUAUAUUGUGAUUGUUCUAAUAACUUUAAAUAACUGAAAAAUCAGAGAAUCUAUGUAGGAUAUAAUUAAAGGAGUCAUCCCUCUUUUUUUCUAUUUGAUUUUAAAACUUAAGUAAAGCCAGGGCUGGGCGUGGUGGCUCAUGCCUGUAAUCCCAGCACUUUGGGAGGCCGAGGCGGGCAGAUCACCUGAGAUCAGAAGUUCGAGACCAGCCUGGCCAACAUGGUGAAACCCCGUCUCUACUAAAAAAGUACAAAAAUUAGCCUUGUGUGGUGAUAGGUGCCUGUAAUCUCAGCUACUCAGGAGGCUGAGGCAGGAGAAUCGCUUGAACCAGGGAGUUGGAGGUUGCAGUGAGCCGAGAUUGCGCCCCUGCACUCCAGGUGACAAGAGCAAGACUCCAUCUAAAAAAAAAAAACAAACAAAAAAAACCUUAAGCCAAUGCUAAAGUGGUAGUUCAGACUCAGUUGCUCUCUAAUCCUACUUUUCUGUUUAAAAUCUGGACUGGCUGACAAUAUCCAGAUUGAAUGAUUUUGCUGCCUAUGGGUAACAAUAUCAGGAUUGAAUGACAUAGCUGCCUGUCUUUGUAAUGGGUAGCAAAUGCAAAAAGAAGCAGGACUUUUAGUAAACCAGAUAGAUAUUUAAUAACAUGUAUGCUUACAUUAUAUAGUUCAUUUCAAAAUGUGCUUUCAGUCUUUAUCAACUUCUUUGGUGAACUUUAUAAAGUUCUGCAAUUGAAAACAUUCUGGGCAGAAUUUUAAAGAUAUCUACAAUUAACAGUUUGAGUGAAGAUUCUGGUGUUCAGACAGAGCAGACUAGGUAAGCAACAUCCUUUGCAGAAUGUUAUUCUUAAAAAUCUUGCUCCUCUUUGCAUUUGCCACCCAUUACAAAGACAGACAGCUAUGUCAUUCAAUCCAGAUAUUGUCACUCAGUCUUAUAUUUUAAACAGAAAAGUGGGAUGAAAGAGCAACUGAGUCUGAACUACUGCUUUACUUUUAGCAUUCACCUUGCUGAAGUUUUAAAAUUAAACAGAAUUUCACAGAAUUUUAGAUCAGUAUCUUCACUUCUAAUCAAUUAAAUGAAUAUAAUUUAACCCCAGAAAAAAACAGAGUAAAUCUAAAACUUGUAUUUAAUAUGAUUGAAGAUUUAAUCUUCCAGGUGAAUAUUGAAUUUCAUUGAUAUUUGGUGCAAUAACAUCUAGCAUGUAUCUAGUCAAGCCUUUUAACCAUCGCAGUCUAUAUGGUGUGAAGCAUGAAGAACUGUUCUUCGUUUGUUUGUUUUAUUGGUGAGGGAAUAAUACAAGUGAUUGCUUUCCAACUUCAGAUCUGGAUACAAACAAUUAGAUCAUUCUUUUAUAUGAAGGACAACAUGGGUCCAUGCAAAUUCCCAGUGCAUUCAUGCUGGUAUUUACUGUGUACCAGGCACUCAUCCAAAUACAGGGAAAGUAGAGCAGUAAGGAAGGCAGAUAAGGUUCCUGUUUUUAUGGAGGAGAUAAACAAUAAAUAUUCAAUAUAAUAUGCAGUGAUUAGAACUAUCAAGGAAAUAACAGCUAGAGAAUGAUAAGGGGAUGGUGUGCUCUUUUAGAUAAAGUCAGUGAAGACAUCUCUGAGCAGGUAACAGAAGCAAAAGAUCUGCAGGAAAUGAGGUUGCAUCAAGUGCAUGUUGAUGUACAUAUGAUUUAGGUGUCAGACUAUGAAUUUAAUAUUUCUUAAGGACAGUAUUUUUUGUAUAUUCUGAACAACCCCAUCCGAGAAAUACAAUUAACUUGCCUUUACAAAAAAAUAGCAUAUUGUUAUGUACAGUAAUAUCUUCAUAAAAUCUGGUUGUUGCUUCUGGUCUUACUCAUUUCAUUUUGAUUCAACAGAUCUUUAUUGAGUAAUUGCUGUACUUCAAGGCUUUAUUCUAGGUUUUUGCUAUAUACCAUUGAAUAAAAUAAUGAACCCUGGCUACCUGGAGAUUGCAUUCUAGCAGGAAAAUGCAGACAAUAAGCAAUAAACAUAAUAAAUUAUAUACUGUGUUAGAAGGUGAUUUGUGCUGUAAUGGGGUAUGUAGGCCAGAGAAAGGGAGGUACUAAUUACUUGGAGAAGAACAGCUUCCAUUAGUAAGUAUGCUAGCAGAGUGGCCCUCAAUUAGGUUAGACCUGAGCAAACAACAGGGACCUGAGGGAGUUAGCCAAGUGCCUGUCUGAGAAAACAGCUCUCCUUGACUCAUACAUAUCUACAUACGCUUUUGCCUCCAAGAAAGUUACUAUCUUUUUUCCAACUCUUACUAUUUUUUUAGCAAAAAAAAAAUAGAGUAGCUAUGAUACACCAUCACUGUAUAUAAUUUACUUGAAUACGUGAUUUUAUUUUUUAUUUACAUAGGUAGCCACUACUAUACACACAUGCACACAUACAUAUAUACAUAUAUGAUUUAUAUAUAUGACAUAUAUAUGAUUUUAAAUUUUUAUCAUCUGAAAGUGUGAAGAACUACCUUUUUUUUUUUUUUUUUUUUUUUGAGAUGGAGUCUUGCUUCGUCACCCAGUCUGGAGUGCAGUGGCGCGAUCUCAGCUCACUGCAACCUCCAUCUCCCGGGUUCAAGCGAUUCUCCUGCCUCAACCUCCCCCAGUAGCUGGAAUUACAGGCGUGCGCCACCAUGCUCAGCUAAUUUUUUUGUAUUUUUAGUAGAGACGGAGUUUCACCUUGUUGGCCAGACUGCUCUUGAGCUCUUGACCUCUAGUGAUCCGCCCACCUUAGCCUCCCAAAGUGCUGGGAUUACAUGCGUGAGCCACCACACCCAGCCAAGAACUACUAUUUUUAAAGGCACUGAAAAAUAACUUAUGAUUAGAAAACAUAUAUUUUUAUAUACUGGCAUGUGUAGGUCACACUACAAAUAUACUUUAUGCUUUCCAGUUAAAAGGUAAUGGUGUUCUUGAAGAUAUGUUAGAAAUCCAAAAUAAUAAUUUAAGAUAAGUUGGAAGACAUGGUAGAUUACUCACUGCAUGCUAUAAAUUGAGUGCAGAGCUAACAAGUGUGGUAUGUUGGUAUGUGUAGUUAGAAAAAUUGACUUUUAUGAGUUUAUUCAAUAAAAUUAGAAUACUUUCAAUUCUUUUAUUUUUGCUUCAUUCCAUCUGCCUUCCAGAUAUCACUGACUUUAUUACAAAGGUGUUUAAAGUUAACAUUAUUAAUCUACAUAUACUUGUUAUUCUGCAGAGUAAAAUCUUCUAAUCUUUAUGUUUCUAAAAGCAUGACUUUUAAAAAAAGUAACCACACAGUUACAACCAGGCAUCUAGGUAUUGUAACUGUAUUUCCUUUCCAUUUUCAAAUUGUGUUCUGUUUUUAUUUUUGAAUCAAUGUUAAAUAACAGGUAACUGUUUGUAACUUUAGAUACAAUAUUUUACUAAAAAGAUCAUAAAUGUUCCAUAAGCUUAUAUACUUUUUGUACUUCUUUUACUAACCUGGAAGUAAUAGAUUUGAUUUGCUUUAAAAAAUAACUUUUUUUCUUCAUAAAACCCUUCCUUUCAAAUCCUGUCUACAGUGUCUCCUUCUGUCUUCUGAAUUUACUUUCGUAUUACCUAUGUGACACUUAUUAGUUUGGUGCAAAAGGAAUUGCAGUUUUUGCAAUUACUUUUUUAAUGGCAAAAACCAACCUAAUAGUAUGUGUUGUCUUGUGUCUGUUUUAGCUUCCAAAAAUAGACCAUACAUUUUCCAAGGACAAAGAUCCAAUUCUUAUCAGUUAGCAUAAUGAUUGUUUCCCAAAGUAAUUCUUCCACUAUACUUGUAAAACUCAAAGUUAUAUUUUAUCUAGAUAUCUACCUAUCUAUAUCUAAAUAUAGAUAUAGUAUAGUAUACAAAAUUAUGCUAUACUAAAAUUGAAAUCUUUUUAAAAUUGAAAGGGUUUAUUUAGUCUACCUCCUUGAGAUAGAGAAAAAAAGGCUUUCCAUCAUCCCUCCUCUGUCUUUGGUGGUUAAGGUUCUAUUACCUGAAAAAUUGUGUAGCCAAAGCGCCAAUAACCAGCUUGUACGUAUAAAAAGUUGAUCCUAAGUAGUACUAUAUAGAAAUAAAUUUAAACCUAAAAUGUUUUUGUUUUAUAUUGACACCAAAAUAUUUUGCUUUUAUAUCUGUACAGUCUGAAAAUUCAAAAGAGAAGCAAUUUAAAGGACUUCCAUUUACUUCUUUCCCCUCUAAUCUGCACAAAAGGUUAAAUGUAGCAGUGCAGCAGUUCUGGCCAUCAAAAUAUGAUUAUUGUACUUUAAAAGCAGCCAUGAGAACUCUGCUCUUUGAUAGACUUCAACUUGCAACAACUAAGGUAACAUAUUAUCUGGUUCUACCCAAAAAUACAUAUCCUCAUCCUACUUAUCUUAGAUCAUGUGUAAGAUUCAGUUAUGUUUAAGCUGUCCUUCGGAAAAACUCACAGGUUAAUCUUUAGCACCCACUCUCUACUCACUUUAGGUCCUUAUCCCUGAUGACUACUUUAUUUCUUGCAGGAAUAAUCCAGUUCCAGAGGAGAUUAGGAGUUGGGUGAGAGGAUAGACUCUAAUCUUAGAGAAAUAAGGUAUUGUACAAGUUAUCAAGGCCUAGCAAUCCAACUACUUUGACCAGAAUUAUUACAGAAAGUUGGAAAAAGAUUAACUUGAUGCAGAGUUAUCUGAGCUGUGGACACUGCGCUUCUUCAGUUUUUCCUAACAAGUUUGAACAGGUCAGUGUUGUCACUUGUUAGGAAAAACUAACCAUGAUUGAAGUGUCACCUUUGGGCAGAGCUGAAAUUUACUUGUUUGAUACAUGAUCUUCUCAAAGUCCAGUGAUCGCUACUUUGAAAAGGAUACCAAGCAGUUAAUCUAAUAAUAUAACCAAACAUGGUGCCCUGUGCUACUUACUGCACAGGUUGCAUGCCUAUGAAGCAGAUCCUCUAAAUAAGAAGUGCAAGCAAAUAAUGAAAAUCUUAAAAGUCUAUUACUUUAACUAACAGAACUUCUAGUUUUGUCUCCUAUGAGAACUCUUAAGAGUAUGUAUGCUUAUUAAGGUUUUACUUGGAAAAUUAUUUGAUAUCGUAAUCAUAAAGAGUUAUUAGCUGUUUUCUCCUAAUGCAAGUUAAAAUGUAUAGCUAUGUUAAAAAUUCAUAUAUUAGUCCUAGUUAAACCAUAUUUUUAAUAUUUUUCUAAAUAACAAAAAUUCAGACUCUCUAAGGAGAAAAAAUUAUCAGUUUUUGGUCUUAUUUUCUAUGUGAAUGGCAUCAGGUUGAAGUUAUCAUAGUUUUAGUAGAACAUUAUUUUGGCCUCACUAAUAAAAAAAAAUAUGCUUUACUGAGGGAACCCAGUGUUAUGCCAAGGACUUGCUUCAUUGUCCUGAUCAUUAAUAAUCAUUAGACAAAGAACUAGGGAAAAAACACCACAUUUCACAUUUGUCAGACAAGCUUAUGACUUUAAAACCUAAAAAGUAUAGCAACUAAAUUGCAGUGUGGUUAAUCGAGCUUAUUCAGUUUACAUAUUGUUAUAAUGUGGAAAGUGGAAUUUGACCAAGAACCUUUCAACCCAAUCUAUUAUAACAGAUUUAAUUGCCCUUCUGUCCUUAAAAACUUUAUGACAGUUAAGAAAGCUAAGCUAAAGUUUUUUUAAAUUUCUGAUUUUGACUUUUAGGUUAGCUACCUAACUAGUGGAUGAAAUUGAUAAAUAGGCAUGAUGAUUUUCACUGUGACAGUUUGUUGUGAAAUAAAUUUAAAAUGCAGAACUUAAGUUUCAGCCUUCCUAAAUUGCUCCCUUGGACUUUACAACUUACUGUUGCCCUUGAGAAACUGGAUCGCUGAAUGAAAUCUCUUUUCACACUACCUUCUCUCUAGCAAUCCACUGUUUAACAGAUGGAGAUACCCUAACCCUUGCCUCAGAGGGCUUCAACCCUAGAGAGAGUGAGGCAGGCAAUAGAAAAAUCACAAGUAAAAUUUUGGUAUGUUAGAUGUGGUUAGGUACUAUGGGAGAAAGAUAAAGCAAAGAAGGAAUGUAAGGAGUCUGGGUAGAGGUAGGAGCAUGGAGGAUUAUAAUACUAAAUCCGAUAAAAAGAAAGUCUGAAAAGACAACUACAUAGAAACCUGGAGGAAGAAAAGUACAAGCCAUUGAAUAUCCAGGGAGGAGCAUUUCAGGCAAAGGGAGCUGCACAUGCAAAACCCCAGUGUGUUCAAGGUCCAGCAUGAAGACCAAUGAGGCUGGAAAGUAGUGUGCAAAGUGGAAGCUCACUAGGAGACGAAGUAAAAGAUGUAAUGAGGUGAGAGUAGAAGGAGUCCAAUGAAGAAGAGUAGAGAGUUCCAAUCAUAAGUCACUCUAAGCUAUUUUGGUAAUUUUGAUUUUUACUCUAAGUGAAAUAAGCCUUUGGAGGACUUGAAGUAGAGAGGUGACAUGAUCUAUUUUAUUAAGAAGAGCUAACUGAAUUGGGGCAAGAAGCAGAAGCAGGAGGAAGGCCAGGUAGGAUACUAUAGGAAUAUUCCAGGUAAAAGGAGAUAAUGACUUGAAACAGAGCAGUAACAGAGGUGGUGGUGAGAAGCAGUCAGCUUCUGAAUGUAGAAUAAAGAGCCAUUAAAUCCAUUUAGCUUAUCAUUGACUGAAGUACUGUUUUUAUAAUUAUUUGUGAUAUAUACUUUCAUAGUAAAAUGUUUGAAAAUAUAGGUAGGUGAAAAAGUAAAAAUCACUCAGAACCUCACUCUAAACAUUUGAUGGAUAGUCUUUCACUUUUUCUAAAUGUAUGUGUGUAUGUAGCUUAUAUUUAUUCAAAUGUGAUCAUACAAAAAUCAUUUUAUUACCCAUUAUAUGUAUUUUUAUAUAUUGUGAUAAUUUCCUAUUUCUUUAAAUAUUUUCUCACACCAUAGUAUUAGUGGCUGAAUAAUGUAGUUUGGAUAUAGCAUAAUUUAGCCAUUUUAUAGAUAGAACAGUUUAUUUAUCCAGUAUUCUAUUGUUGGCCAUUUAUACAUUUUCCAGUUUUUCUGUAUUAUAAAUACCACUUAAAUGAACAUCUGCAUUGCUAUAUCUUUGAAAAUGUGGUCACUGUAUUACUUAGGAAUCUCUGCCUAUUUAAACAAUUUUUUUCAUCAUAUUUAUUUUUUCAUUGUGUUUAUUUUUAAUCAAAGAAUUACUUUUUUCUUUUUUUUAUUAUUUCAGUAGUUUUUAUGGAACAGGUGGUGUUUGGUUAUGUGGAUAGGUUUUUUGGAAUACUACUCAGCCAUAAAACGGAACAAAAUAAUGGAAUUCCCAGCAACCUGGAUGGAGUCGGAGACCAUUAUUCUAAGUGAAGUAACUCAGUGAGAACAAAUAUCGUAUGUUCUCACUUAUAAGUGGGAGCUCUUAAAAGUGGGAGCUAAGCUAUGAGGACACAAAGGAGUAAGAAUGAUACAAUGGACUUUGGGGACUAGUGGGGAAGGGUGGGGGCUGGAUGAAGGAUAAAAGUCUACACAUUGGGUACAGUGUACAUUGGGUUUUUUCCCAUCUAUAACCGUAGAAAGAAAAGAUUAUAUCAGAUGCAUAUUGAUAGAUUUUAAAGGGUGCCAAAAAUAUUUGAAUAUGAACUAUAUAUAAAUUCCUACUGAAGACUAAAUAAACAUUCAUGUAUUUUGGAAUUUGUUUUCUAUUUCUGAUAGACUUAGUUAUUACCAGGAACAGAUGACCAGUUGCAAGAACUGUCACUAUUUUAACAUUCUCCAUCAGCUGUGGCCAUGUUGGAUUUCUGGCACCUGAGCAUUCACAUCCAUCUGUUUAUAGGGCAUUAUGCCCACUCAUGAGGUUUAUUCCAGUUUCAAAAAGUCAUGUGUAAACCAAGAUUGGAAAUAUAUAUUCCUUGAGGUAUAAAUAAUCUAUUAUUUGAACUUUUUGAAUUAUGUUUUUAGAAAGAACUUUAGCCACUUACCAAUUUGAGAUAACUUUCAAUUAGGCAUAUAUGGAAAGCAACAUUAUCAGCAAAAUUUUAACUUUACUAACUAAUAAAUAGAAUAAUAGACUUCUUCAACAUGAGAAAGUUGAAAUUAGGAAAAUGCUAUAACAUAUCCUUGAAAAAUAUUUUGAAACCAACAUUUAUUUGAUAACUGCUGUGUGUGAGGUGCUUUUGUAUAAUUUGUGCAUAUAAUUGUCAUAAUCUGUGAAAUAGAUAUUAUCCUUACUUUGCAAGCAAAGAAACUAAGAGAAGUGAUUUACUUAGUAUCACAAGUAGGAAGUGACAAAGAUAAUUUCAAGCCCAGUUCUUUCUGACUUCAAAGCCCAUACUCUUUUAACCAUACUGUGCUGCUUAAGAGAUUGGGAUCCAAGCAUUAGAGCAGUUUGACACAUCUGUAAUGUUGAUUGUAAGCAGUUAUAGUAGUUAAAAUGUAAACAACAACAACAACAAAACAACCAACCAACCACCAUCAACCACAUGACUGCUUUACUUUUAAAACACUAAAUAGCCCAAGGUAAGUAUAAGGAUAUAAAUUAGCUCUCAUUAUCAGGAAGACAGUGCUAUAUAGUAAUUAACUGUUUUAACUGUAAGAGAAUAUCUACUUAGACAAAAUAUUUAAGAGAAGAAAAUCUGGUGAGAUGUUUGCUUGUUGUCUUUACAUUAGUGAUUUUCAAAGUUGAAAAAAAAAGUUAUUUUUCCCCCACAGAAAGCUACAUAAAACAAGUGAAAAUGGUUGAAGUGGGGGUACAAGUGAAAGAUGGGGGGGAUGUAGCUCUAUUUGCUCCCUACCCAGUUCUCUCCUCUAAUUCUCCAUGUAACAUCGGAAGAAAAAUUUACAAAUUCCAGAAUUCAGAAUGUCAUUUAAUAGGCCAUGUUGUGGCUGGAACACUUGGUUGAUUGGCUUACUUUUUAAAUAUUCAACUGAUUUAUUUUGGUUAUCUAAAAAAUGUGAUUUGGGCUGGGCAUGGUGGCUCACACCUGUAAUCCCAGCACUUUGGGAGGCCAAGGUGGGCGGAUCACGAGGUCAGGAGUUUGAGACCAGCCUGGCCAACAAAAAUUAGCUGGGCAUGGUGGUGCGCACCUGUAGUCCCAGCUACUCGGGAGGCUGAGGCAGGAGAAUCGCUUGAACCCAGGAGGUGGAAGCCGCAGCGAGCUGAGAUCGCACCCCUGCACACCAGCCUGGGUGACAGUGCGAGACUCCAUGUCAAAAAAAAAAAAAAAGUGAUUUGAAAGGGGGAAACAGUUUCUGGGGCAAUGGCUCACUUUUAUGUUAUACUGAAUUAUCUUUCCUUGUUUCUCCCAGCCAGAAUCAAUAAAUUUAUUCUAUCAAAUGAUUUUUGAACUUCAAGUAAAUGCCAGGCACUAUACUGAUUCCUACCUUCAAGAAGUCUAGAAUCUGUCUGGAAGAGACAGAUAAUAAAGAAGUGAAAAAAAAAUCAAUUUGUGCUAUAAAGAAAAUCUGUUUUUUUGUUUGUUUGUUUGUUUGUUUUGAGACAGAGCCUCGCUCUGUCCCUCAGGCUGGAGUGCAAAGGCACAAUCUUGGCUCACUGCAACCUCCGCCUCCCGGGUUCAAGCGAUUCUUCUGCCUCAGCCUCCCUAGUAGCUGGGAUUACAGGCGCCCACCACUAUGCCCAGCUAAUUUUUGUACUUUUAGUAGAGACGGGGUUUCACCAUGUUAGUCAGGCUGGUCUCGAACUCCUGACCUCAGGUGAUCCACCUGCCUCGGCCUCCCAAAGUGCUGAGAUUACAGGCGUGAGCUACCACAUCCGGCCGAAAAUCUGUAUUUUUGAUAAACAAUACUUACAGUUUGUUAGGGAACUACUUUAUUUUGGUCUUUUUGGCAAAAGUUACUUGUAUUGGAUUGAAUAAUGUUCCCUCAAAAUUCUUGUUCACCCAGAACCUCAGAAUGUGGCUUUAUUAGAAGUGGGGUCUUUGCCAAUAUAAUUAGUUAAGAGGAGGUCAUAUUGGGUUAGGAUUGGCCCUAAUCCAGUGAUUGGUAUCCUUAUAAAAACAGAAAUAGAGACACAGACACACAAGGGAGAGUGCCAUAUGAAAAUGGAGGCAGAAUGGAGUGAUGCAUCUACAAGCCAAGGAACACCAAAAAUUGCCAGCAACUACUAGAAGCUAGAAGAGGCAAGAAAGGACUUUCUAGAGCCUUUGGAAAGCAUGAUUCUGCCACAUCUUGAUUUUGGACUUCCAGCCUCUAGAACUGUGAGAGAGUAAGUUUCCAUUGUUUUAAACCACCCAAUUUGUAUUAAUUUGUUAUAGAAGCCCUGGGAAACAAAUAAACUACUUUAGAUCAGUUAGGAAGGCUUCUUGAACUAUAUGACAUUUAAACAGAGACAUAAAUGAUGAGACUGUCCCAGCCAAGUUAAAAAUAUCACUGGGAAUCAAACUCACUGGUGUUAUUCCAGCUCAGUGGUAAAUGUUCUACUGGUAUUUUAAAUAAUUCUAAAAUAAAGUCAUUAUUUUUCUUUGCACUCCAAAGUCCUUCUUUGCAAAAACUAUAUGAAGUAGGCAUUAAUAUUCAGACUUACUAUAUAGAGGCUAAGGAACUUAGACCUAGUAAGUAGCAGAGCCUAGAUUCAAGCUCAGGUAACCUAGCUUCAGGAGCCUGUAAUUUAAACCAUCAGGUUAUACUGACUCUAUUCUCAACCUUAUGCAGUGUGCUUUCAUUCUUCCCACAAGCUUCCAAGGUGUCCUUUUUUGUGAUAUCCCAUGGAAUCCAGUCUCAUAUGUGAAAUUUAGCUUUUCUUUUUUGUCUCCUACUUUUCCUCUUUUCCUUUAUAAUGAUAGUAGUACAGAUUGCUAAAUGUAUUGAGCACUAAGUGUGCCAGCUCUUUUAAUUCAAACAACAACCAUAUGAGGUAGAUACUAUUAUCAUCCUCAUAUUCCAGAGGAUAUUUCUAUGGCUUAGAGAGGUUAAGUGACAUAUGUGGGAUCAUAAUACUAAUAAAUGGCAGACCCUGGGUUGGUUGGAUCUGUCUGACUUCAAAGCUUCUACUUUUAAAAAAAUUCGAUGUAAAACCAAGGUAUAACUUACAUGAUUUAAGAUGCACAACUCCUAAAUAUUUAGUAUGAUGAACUCUGAUAUGUUCUAUACCUGUGUAAUUAUCAUCACCCAGAACAUUCCCUGAUGGAAAGACUCCUUAAUCACCCCCCUUAACAGUAGAUAAUCCUCCAAAGAUAAACAACAUUCUGUUAUAUAUCACCAUGAAUUAACUUUAUUUUUGAACUUUCUAGAAGUAGAAUCAUAUAGUAUAUUUUCUUCAGUGUCUCAUUUCUUUCCAGAGUCCUUAUUUUUAAUGACCAUGUUAUACUUUGUCCAACAAAACUGCCAAGUCCUCUGUCCUAUUUUCCUAGGCUCUUGCUAAGUAACCUAUGUUGAUGAUGUAAUAUGCUAAUUCUUGCUAAAAUAUUAGUGGGUGAAAAUUGUUUAAGUUACUUUUUUGGGGGGAUAACUUAUUAGUAUCAUAACUGACCUUAAGCUGAGAAGAAUGACUAUUAUGAAAAUUCUAAGUAGAGUCUGAGAGACUUUUAGGCAAAAGGGGCCUAGCUAGUUCCAGUUUUAUAUGGUUUGUUAACUUUAGGAAAGAUGCUCAUAAAUGAAUGCAUAGAAGGAAAGCAAAAGCUGAAAAAAAGGGGGAAACUGAAAGUAUGUAAAUACUUCUGGGCAAAGAAAGGCUGUAUGAGUUUUAUGGUAUUGGGAGAGGGGAGUGUCCUGGUCCAUUUCUCCUGCUGUAACUAAAUACCUGAGACUUAGUAAUUUAUAAACAAUAGACAUUUAUUUCUCUUAGUUCUGGAGGCUCAGAAGUCACAGAUCAAGGCACCAGCAAGUCUGAUGACUGGUAAAGCCCCAUUUUCCAUAGAUGGUGCCAUCUAGGUGUCCUUACAUGGUAGAAGGGCAAAAAGGGAACAAAUGUUUUUUCCUCACAUGGCAAAAGAGCAGAAAGGCAAGAGAGAGCUCCCUUCAACCUUUGAGCCCUUUUAUAAGGGUGCUAAUCCCAUUUAUGAGGUCAGAGCCCUCAUGACUUAAUCAUCUCUCUCUUAGUACUCUUGCAUUGGGGAUUGAGUUUCAACAUGAAUUUUGGAGGGGACACAAAUAUUCAAAUCAUAGCACUGGUACACUAAUUGUGGACCUUUAAAAUUUAUUUCUAAAAUGUAAAUGUUGUAUCUAUAACUGAAAUUGAAAUACCACAGAAGAAAUCUUAGAUGUAUAAAAAGAAAUGUUAAUGUCAUAUAGAAAAAUGAACAUUGAAGUUGUCAAAAGUUUUGGGUUCUAGUCACUGCUCUGCAGCUUACCAGCUAAUUACCUCGCUUAAAUCACCUAAUCUUUCUGAGUCAACUUCAGUAUAUGCAUAAAAACAUUUACCCUGCCUGACAGGAUUGGUGUGAAGAUUAAAUAUGAAAUAAGCUAGUUUAUAUUAAUGUGCUUUAUAAAGUCUCAUAUAUGAAGCUUUAUAUAUAUACACAUAUCACUGUCAUAAAAUAGUUAAUACAAUAUUAGAUAUAUGAAAAAUUGAAUACUGUAACCACCUGAUGCAAUAGAAAGUCUUAAUGACAUUGUUUUUGAAGAACUUCUAAUUUAAUAACCCAGGCUUCCAGUCACUCAGUUCAAGUUUGUCAGAACUCUAAAUGAAUGGAUUUGGAAAAAUACAAGAGCAAUUUUCUUUCCCAUUUCCUUUUGCUUUUACAUUUCACCUCUUCUCAGUGAUAAAUUUUGUUGGAAAGCAAGACAUAAUUUUUUUACUUUUACCCUUUUCCUUAGAGUUUCUUGCAUGUCACACGUGAAUUUGCCUAGGGAUUCUCCUGUAACAAGAAUUAUUUAAUUGUCAGGUAAGAGUGUGAAGAAUUUAUUAGAAAAAUGUGAAAGACUUCAUACUGAUAACCAAUUAUUAUUAUUAUUAUUAUUUUGAGACCGAGUUUCGCUCUUGUUGCCCAGGCUGUAGUACAGUGGCGCAAUCUUGGCUUACUGCAACCUCCCCCUCCCGGGUUCAAGUGAUUCUCCUGCCUCAGCCUUCCUGAGUAGCUGGGAUUACAAGCAUGCGCCACCAUGCCCGGCUAAUUUUGUAUUUUUAGUAGAUAUGGGAUUUCUCCAUGUUGGUCAGGCUGGUCUCGAACUCCCGACCUCAGAUGAUCUGCCUGCCUCGGCCUCCCUAAGUGCUGGGAUUACAGGCGUGAGCCACCGUGCCCUGCUGAUAACCACUUACUAAUUUAUAGCCAAUUUAAAAAAAUUGGCGUGGGGUGGGGAGGCACGCUGGGUAGGAGGAUGGGUAGUAAUAAUAUGUUCCGCUUUACUUUGGACUGCCAUCUACUGGUAAAUUAAGUCAGACAAUGUUUGACAAACAAAACAAUUAUGUUCAGAGAUUAGAACAAGGAACUUGUUGAAGAAUGACAUCAGCAAAAUAGUGGAACAGAAGUUCCUAGUACUCAUCUCACAGAAACAUAAAUUUAAACAUCUAUCCACACUAAAAAAAUACCUUUACAAGAACUAAGAAAUUCAAGUGAGGGAUUAUAGCACCUGGAUGUAGCAUGGAAAUAAGAAAACAUGUAUUCAUGACGACAGGAAAGACAGUUUUACAUUACCUGUGUGCUAUGGUUUGAAUGUGUCCUCUCCAAACUUCAUGUGCUGAAACUUAAUGACCAAUAUGAUGGUAUUAAGAGAUGGGGCCUUUAAGAGGUCAUGAGCUCUCCUUCUCUCAUGAUUAAGGCCUUUAUAAAAGGGGCUUUGUGUAGUGUUCACCUCAUUGCCUUUCCACCUUUUGCCAUGUGAAGACCUAGUAUUACUCCCCUCCAGAAGAUGCAACAAUAAGAUGCCAUCUUGAAAGCAGAGAGCAUCCCUCACCAAACAACCAAACCUAUCAGGGCCUUGAUUUUGGACUUCUUAGCCUCCAGAAUGAUGAGAAAAUAAAUUUGCUAUUUAUAAAUUAUCCAGUCUCUCAGAUAUUUUGUUAUAGCAGCACAAAACAGACUAAAGACACCAUGUCACUGUUUUCACAAGCCUGGGCAACACAUCAUGCAGAUAAAUACCCUUCAUGUGGGAAAAGCAGUGUGAAGUGAGCUCUCACCUUCACUUCAGACCCUGGCAGCAGGCCUACCCCAGUAAGCCCAGACUCUAGGACCACCCCAGCACCAGGAGUCUCCAGGCCAACUGUCCCAGUCUCCAGACCAGCUCAUGUGGUCACAGGCUCCAGGCCCAACCGAGAGACAGGCUUGACCUUGCAGCCUUAGGUUCUAGGCCAGCCCCUUGGACACAAGCUCCAGGCCUCCAAAGGUAAACAACAUUCUGCUAUCUCUCACUAUGGAUUAACUUUGUUUAUUUUUGAACUUCCUAGAAGUGGAAUUAUAUAGUAUAUUCGCUUUGGUGUCUCAUUUCUUUCCAGAGUCCUUAUUUUUGAUGACCAUGUUAUACUUUGUCCAACAAACCUGCCAAGUCUUCUGUCCUAUUGCCCUAGGCUCUUGCUAAAUAACCUAUGUUGAUGAUGUAAUGUGUUAAUUCUUGUUAAAAUAUUAGUGGGUGAAAAUGCCCUACCACUGCACCAACCCACCCCCUGCAGACUCAGGCUCUAGUCCCAUCCUAGCACCAAGCCAGCUCCCAUGGUCCCAGGCUCCAGACUGCCCCCUGUGGCCCUAUGCUCCAGAAUAUCUAGGUUCCAGGCCCACCCCAGUAGAAUUUGAUACUAGUCCAGCCCUCAAAGACCCAAGCUCCAGACUGGACCCCAUCAACCCAAGACCAAAGCCUGCCCGCAUGGACUCAGCCUCCAGGCCCACUACCAUGGACCCAGGUGCCAGGGCACCCCACUGAACCCUGGUGCUAGGUCAGCUCCUGUAAACUCAGGACCAGGCCCAUCUCCAUGGACCCAGGCACCAGGCCUCCCCUAGCAACAGGUUUUCCCUCAUGGACUCGGGCUUUAGGCUGGCCCCUGUAGACACAGGUUUCAGCCUACCUAUGCAUGCCUACCCAUGCAGGCCCAAUCUCUAGGCCCAACCCAGUGGAGUCCAGCACUAGGCUGGCCUCUGUGAACCCAAGAUCCAAGCCUAACCACCUAGAUUCGGGUUCAACGCCUGCCCCACUGGACCCAUGAGCCAGACUCAGCCAAGUGGACCUAGCCACCAGACCAGCCUGCCUGAGGAUUCCAACAGCAAGCUUGCAAGCAGACCCCACUAAAUGGCUCACCAAGAAUCUCUGGAUGGUCUGACUGGUAAAGGACUUUCCCUGCCAAAGCCAGUCUGUAAAGAUGGGAAAAGCUGCCUGCUUCUUUUUAAAAAUUAUAUUUUAUUUUUUAGAGACAGAGUCUUACUAUGUUGCCAGGCUGGAGUAUAGUGGAUAUUCAUAGGCACAAUCAUAGCACACUGCUGCCCCAAACUCCUGGGCUCAGGUGAUCCUCCUGCCUUAGCCUCCUGAGUAGCUGGGACUUCUGUGCCUGGUUAAGAGGUUCCUACUUCUCCAAAUAGACAAACACCAACACAACACCACAAGGAUUACAAAUAAAACUGCCUGACAAAGAAUUGAAAAUAAUUGUCUUCAAGAAACUUAGUAAGCUCCCAGAGAACACAGCUAGACAACUAAACAAUUAUCAGGAAAACAAUACAUAAGGAAAUGAGUUCAACAAAGAGAAGGCAUUUAAAAAUUCUGGAGCUGAAGAACACAAUGCUUGAACUGAAAAAUUCCAUAGAUAGAUUUAACAACAGAUUUGAUCAGUCAGAAGAAAGAACCAGUGAGACUGAAAACAGGUCAUUUGAAAUUAGAGCAGAGGAAAAAGAAUGAUAAAGAGUGAAGAAAGCCUAUGGGACUUAGAGAACACCAUCAUGUAAAACAAUAUUUGUGUGUAAGUUUUCUGGAAGGAGUAGAAAAAGAAAAGGGGAGAAAGCUUAUUUUAAGAAAUAGUAGCAGAAAACUUCCCAAAUCUGGAGAGGGAAAUGAAUGUCCAGAUUCAUGAAGCUCGAAGAACCCCAAAUAUAUUAAAUAUAAAGAGAUCUACCCCAAGACACAUUAUAAUCAAAUUCUCAAAAGCCAAAGACAAAGAUUAUUUUGAAAGCAGCGAGGAAAGACACGUCACAUGCAAUGGAACCCAUAUGAGAUGGUCAGUGAAUUUCUCAGCAGAAACCUUGCAGAUCUUGAGAGAGUGGAAUGACAUAUUUAAAGUGCUGAAAGAAAAAAAAAAACCUGAAAACCAAGAAUGCUACCCCUGGUAAAUCUUUCCUUCAGAAAUGAAGGAGCGAUAAAGACUUUCUCAGACAAACAAAAGCUGUGGGAGUUCAUCACCACUAGACAUACCUUACAAAAACUGUAAAGGGAGUUCAAGUUGAAACAAAAUGACACUAACUUUCUAGAAGCUGAAGCUGUGAAAAAUUUUUAAAAAUGACAUAAUAUAAAAACAUAGAAGUAUAAAACUGUAAAGGUAAGAAUACAGUCAAAUUCAGAAUACUCUAAUACUAAUGAUGGUAAUGAUAGUACAUAAAUAACUCUAGUAAAAAGUUAAAAGUCGUGAGUGUUAAAAAUAAAUAUGGCAACAAUAAUUUGUUAGUGGAUACACAUUAUAUAAAACAUGCAAAUUGUGACACCAGUACAUAAAAUGUGAGAGGAGGAGAAGUUAAAAGUGUAGAGUUUUGUAUGUGGUUGAAGUUAAGUUGUUAUUAGAUCCAAAUAGACUGUUAUAAGAUGUUUUAUGUAAGCCUUAUGGUAACCACACACAAGAAAAGUCUGUAGUAAAUAAAAGAUAAAGAAGACGAAAUCAAAGCACACCACUACAAAAAUAAAUCAUUAGGCUGGGCACAGUGGCUCACGCCUGUAAUCCCAGCAUUUUGGGAGGCCGAGGCGGGCAGAUCAUGAGGUCAGGAUAUCGAAACCAUCCUGGCUAACAUGGUGAAACCCCGUCUCUACUAAAAAUACAAAAAAUUAGCUGGGCAUGGUGGCGGACGCCUGUAGUCCCAGCUACUCGGGAGGCUGAGGCAGGAGAAUGGCAUGAACCUGGGAGGCAGAGCUUGCAGUGAGCCGAGAUCGCACCACUGCACUCCAGCCUGGGCAACAGAGCGAGACUCCAUCUCAAAAAAAGAAUAAAAAUAAAAAUAAAAAUAAAUAAAUCCUUAAAUCACAAAAGAAGUCAGCAAGAGAGAAAGAAAGGAACAAAGGAACUACAAAACAGAUUUAAAUGAUUAACAAAAUGGCAAUAUUAAGUUCUUCCUAUCAAUAAUUAAUUGUAAGUGGAUUCAGUUCUUCAACAAUAGAGUGGCUGAAUGGAUAAAAGGAAAACAAGAUUCAAUUAUAUGCUACCUACCAGAUACUCACUUAAGCUUUAGGGACACACAUAGGCUGAAAGUGAAGGGAUAGAAAAAGAAGAUAUUCCAUGCAAAUGGUAACCAAGGGUGAACAGCAGUGGUUAUACUUAUAUUGGACAAAAUAUACUUUAAGUCAAAAACUUUCACAAGGACAAAGAAGCUAAUUAUAUCAUAGUAAAGAGAUCAGUCUAUCAAGAGGAUAUAACAAUUAUGAAUACUAUGCACUCAACAUUGGUGUACCUACAUAUUUAGCAAAUAUUAACUGAACAGAGAAAUAGAAAGCAAUAUAAUAAUAGUAGAGUACUUCAAUACCUCACUUUCAAAAAUGGAUAGAUAUAGAUCAUCCAGACAGAAUAUUGAUAAGGAAACAGUGGACUUGAAAUACAGUAUAAUAUAAACCAAAUGGAUCUAACAGAUACGUACAGGACAUUCCAUCCAACAGCAACAGAAUACACAUUCUUUUCAAGUGUACGUGAAACUUUCUCAAGGAUAGAUCAUAUGUUAGGCUGUAAAACAAGUCUUAACAAAUUUAAAAAGAUUGAAAUAAUUAUCAAUAUCUUUUUCAACGACAAUGUUAUGAAAUGCUGUAAAAUGUUAGGAAAACAACAGGAAGAAAAUUAGAAAAUACACAAAUUUGUGUAAAUUAGACCACAUACACUCGAAUAACCAAUAGGUCAAAGAAGUCUUCAAAAGAAAAAUAAAAGGCCAGGUGCCUGUAAUCCCAGCACUUUGGGAGGCUGAGGUGGGUGGAUCACCUGAGGUCAGGAGUUCGAGACCAGCCUGGCCAACAUGAUGAAAUUCCGUCUCUACGAAAAAUACAAAAAUUGGCCAAGCAUGGAGGCAGGCACCUGUAAUCCCAGCUACUCGGGAGGCUGAGGCAGGAGAAUCACUUGAACCCAGGAGGCAGAGGUUGCAGUGAGCCAAGAUCGCGCUACCACACUCCAGCCUGGACAACAAGAGUGAAACUCCAUCUCAAAAAAAAAAAAAAAAGAGAAAUGAAAAAUAUCUUGAGACAAAUGAAAACAAAACCACAAUAUAACAAAACUUACUGGAUGCAACAAAAGCAGUCCUAAGAGGGAAGUUUAUAACAAUAAAUGCCUACUUAAGAAAAAAGAAAGAUCUCAAAUAAACA